AUACGUAAGGGGCUAGCGUUGUUCGGAAUUAUUGGGCGUAAAGGGCGUGUAGGCGGCUUAAUAAGCCUGGUGUUAAAGUGCACGGCUUAACCGUGUGAUUUGCGCUGGGAACUGUUGAGCUAGAGUCUAGGAGGGGAAGCUGGAAUUCCUGGUGUAGGGGUGAAAUCUGUAGAUAUCAGGAAGAACACCGGUGGCGGAGGCGAGCUUCUGGCCAUAGACUGACGCUGAGGCGCGAAAGCGUGGGGAGCGAACAGGAUUAGAAACCCCUGUAGUCC
rnacentral:rRNA from 1 species